rnacentral:pre_miRNA from 1 species
ACAGUGGCUUUAGAGACCGGAGCUCCAUAUGUUUCUCUCCGGUGCCUUGAGCACCGUGUAC